CAUAAGUACCAACUUGUAGAUUAUAUUAUAACUUGAAGUUCUUGGUUUUCAAGUUGGACUAUUAGCAAGUCUCGUAAAACCUUUUGAUUAAUUACAUGGACCGAGGACGGUCUAGUCAAGAAUAUCGAUCUCUUCCAUUGUCUGGACUUUAUUAGACUUACUGGGAAGCUAUGCAAGGUUAUGACAAUGAGCUGUCAUUGGAGAAGUUAAACUUGGGAUUGUUCCUUUGGUCUAAGUAGGUUAUGCUAGCUUGUGUAUCCUUCUGCUCGUCUAAGUUAUAUCGUCAUUGUUUAUAUAGGUGAUCAUGACUGUCAGGAGCUUAAGAGGUUACAAACAGCACCAGUUAGAGACAUGUUCUUAAAGCAUUGAAAGAAGGCAUGAGGUUACUGAAGGCUGCCAGUUUGAAGACCUUCCUGUUUGGUUAUGAUACUCUUCUUCCUCUAAUGCUGGAACUUGGGUCCCUAUCAAGUACAUUUUAGAAAGAUUGCAAGCACCCUUCUGUGUAUGGAAUUGGGAGGUUCGGCUUCAAAGUUCUGUUGGUUAGACUCCUGAAGAUGAGAUGACCCUCAGGUACUCUUCAUGUUGUGUGGAAAGUUCCAGAAUAAUUCAAAAGAAAUCUUUAGAAGAAAAUCGCACCAACGUACAUGUACAGCUCACACUGAGACUUCAUUUAGAAUGGCCUUGGAGUUGCAAAGCUGAUGGGAUGCUAAUAUGA